GAGGGUAUAGUUUAGUGGUAAAGGACUUGUCUGCUAUGCAUGAGGCUCUGAGUUCAAUCCUCAGCACCACCA
rnacentral:tRNA from 1 species